GGUGAACGCUAGCGGUGCGUCUAACACAUGCAAGUCGAGCGGUAGAGUAAUAACUGAUCUUUUCGGAGUGAAGAUAUUGUUUGAGAGCGGCGAACGGGUGAGUAACAUGUUGGUAUCUACCCUCAAGUCAGGGAUAGCCUAGGGAAACCUAGAUUAAUACCGGAUAGUCUCUUUGGAGUAAAAAUUUAUUGCUUGAGGAGGAACCUACAUUCUAUCAGCUAGUUGGUAAGGUAACUGCUUACCAAGGCUAUGACGGAUAACUGGUCUGAGAGGAUGAUCAGUCACAAUGGGACUGAGACACGGUCCAUACUCCUACGGGAGGCAGCAGUGAGGAAUCUUCCACAAUGGACGAAAGUCUGAUGGAGCGACACCGCGUGAAGGAUGAAGGUUUAACAAUUGUAAACUUCUUUUCUGAAGGAGCAUAAUGAGAGUACUUCAGGAAUAAGGGACGGCUAAAUACGUGCCAGCAGCCGCGGUAAUACGUAUGUCCCAAGCGUUACCCGGAAUUACUGGGUGUAAAGGGUUUGUAGGUGGGAAUAUAAGUCAGAUAUGAAAGACCGGAGCUUAACUCCGUGUUUGUGUUUGAAACUGUAUUUCUAGAAUAAGGGAGAGGUAAGCGGAAUUCUAAGUGUAGGGGUGCAAUCCGUAGAUACUUAGAGGAACACCAAAAGCGAAGGCAGCUUACUGGAACUUUAUUGACGCUCAUGAACGAAAGCAUGGGGAGCGAAAAGG
rnacentral:rRNA from 1 species